rnacentral:rRNA from 1 species
AUUGAACGCUGGCGGCAUGCCUUACACAUGCAAGUCGAACGGUAACAGGUCUUCGGAUGCUGACGAGUGGCGAACGGGUGAGUAAUACAUCGGAACGUGCCCGAUCGUGGGGGAUAACGAGGCGAAAGCUUUGCUGAUACCGCAUACGAUCUACGGAUGAAAGCGGGGGAUCUUCGGACCUCGCGCGGACGGAGCGGCCGAUGGCAGAUUAGGUAGUUGGUGGGAUAAAAGCUUACCAAGCCGACGAUCUGUAGCUGGUAUGAGAGGAUGAUCAGCCACACUGGGACUGAGACACGGCCCAGACUCCUACGGGAGGCAGCAGUGGGGAAUUUUGGACAAUGGGCGAAAGCCUGAUCCAGCCAUGCCGCGUGCAGGAUGAAGGCCUUUGGGUUGUAAACUGCUUUUGUACGGAACGAAAAGCCUCUUUCUAAUAAAGAGGGGUCAUGACGGUACCGGAAGAAUAAGCACCGGCUAACUACGUG